CGGACGGGUGAGUAAUGCCUAGGAAUCUGCCUGGUAGUGGGGGAUAACGUUCCGAAAGGAACGCUAAUACCGCAUACGUCCUACGGGAGAAAGCAGGGGACCUUCGGGCCUUGCGCUAUCAGAUGAGCCUAGGUCGGAUUAGCUAGUUGGUGAGGUAAUGGCUCACCAAGGCGACGAUCCGUAACUGGUCUGAGAGGAUGAUCAGUCACACUGGAACUGAGACACGGUCCAGACUCCUACGGGAGGCAGCAGUGGGGAAUAUUGGACAAUGGGCGAAAGCCUGAUCCAGCCAUGCCGCGUGUGUGAAGAAGGUCUUCGGAUUGUAAAGCACUUUAAGUUGGGAGGAAGGGCAUUAACCUAAUACGUUAGUGUUUUGACGUUACCAACAGAAUAAGCACCGGCUAACUUCGUGCCAGCAGCCGCGGUAAUACGAAGGGUGCAAGCGUUAAUCGGAAUUACUGGGCGUAAAGCGCGCGUAGGUGGUUCGUUAAGUUGGAUGUGAAAGCCCCGGGCUCAACCUGGGAACUGCAUCCAAAACUGGCGAGCUAGAGUACGGUAGAGGGUAGUGGAAUUUCCUGUGUAGCGGUGAAAUGCGUAGAUAUAGGAAGGAACACCAGUGGCGAAGGCGACUACCUGGACUGAUACUGACACUGAGGUGCGAAAGCGUGGGGAGCAAACAGGAUGAGAUACCCUGGUAGUCCACGCCGUAACGAUGUCAACUAGCCGUUGGAAUCCUUGAGAUUUUAGUGGCGCAGCUACGCAUUAAGUUGACCGCCUGGGGAGUACGGCCGCAA
rnacentral:rRNA from 1 species